GAUGAAGAACGCAGCGAAAUGCGAUACGUAAUGUGAAUUGCAGAAUUCAGUGAAUCAUCGAAUCUUUGAACGCAUAUUGCGCUCUUUGGUAUUCCGAAGAGCAUGCUUGUUUGAGUAUCAGUAAACACCUCAACCUCUUCUUGAUCUUUCAAAAGGAGGGUGGACUUGAGCUAUCCCAACAACCUUUACCGGUCGGCGGGCGGCUUGAAAUGCAGGUGCAGCUGGACUUUUAUCUGAGCUAAAAGCAUAUCUAUUUAGUCCUCGUCAAACAGGAUUAUUACUUUUGCUGCAGCUAACAUAAAGGAUAAUUGUCCUCUUUGCUGACUGAUGCAGGAUUUUACGACACUUUAUGUGUUGUUCAACUCGAUCUCAAAUCAAGUAAGACUACCCGCUGAACUUAAGCAUAUCAAUAAGCGGAGGA
rnacentral:misc_RNA from 1 species